AUUUAAGCGAGUGCGGCUGUAGUUCGUGUUUGGAUCCGUGAAAUCCACGUGUGUUUUUUUUAAACAGUGUGUAAACGGUCUGUAAGAGGUUUGUUCCGAUACAACCGGAAGUCGUCUUAAUCCACCACCACCAUUUUUUUAAUAGACCCCGUAUAUUUUAUUUAUUUGCCUUUCCUUAACCCCAUUGCUUCCCAAUAAAAAAUAUUAAUGCAA